UACGUAGGGUGCAAGCGUUGUCCGGAAUUAUUGGGCGUAAAGAGCUCGUAGGCGGUCUGUCGCGUCGGAUGUGAAAACCCAGGGCUCAACCCUGGGCCUGCAUUCGAUACGGGCAGACUAGAGUUCGGUAGGGGAGAUCGGAAUUCCUGGUGUAGCGGUGAAAUGCGCAGAUAUCAGGAGGAACACCGGUGGCGAAGGCGGGUCUCUGGGCCGAUACUGACGCUGAGGAGCGAAAGCGUGGGGAGCGAACAGG
rnacentral:rRNA from 1 species